UACAGAGGGGGCAAGCGUUGUUCGGAAUUACUGGGCGUAAAGGGCGCGUAGGCGGCCUGCUAAGUCGAACGUGAAAUCCCUGGGCUCAACCCAGGAACUGCGUCCGAUACUGGUUGGCUUGAAUCCGGGAGAGGGAUGUGGAAUUCCAGGUGUAGCGGUGAAAUGCGUAGAUAUCUGGAGGAACACCGGUGGCGAAGGCAGCUCGCUGGGACGACACUGACGCUGAGACGCGAAAGCGUGGGGAGCAAACAGG
rnacentral:rRNA from 1 species